GUUGGCGCUAUUCGCACAUAAACCCAAAUGUUUCCACUCACAACUUCGAAGCCAGGUCUGACACCCGAAUCUGGGUCCCAGAAUCCCACGGUGCCUGCACCAAUAUCACCCCCUCUGCUGGACGGCGGCGCACUGUCGAGAUCUGAGAGGUCUGUCGCUUGCAGCCGUCCCCAGUCGCCUUCCUCAAACCACUUCUCUCUUUCCCCUCCAAAUAUUCAAGGGGUUCGGCCUAUUGAAACCUCCACCUGGUACCCUGGAGCUGAUGUUUGUUUCCUGAAUGUUAGAACCGAAAGAGAAGCGGAGUUGGGAUUUAUGUUGAGAAAUAUUCAACAUAAAGCCAAAGGACGAAAAGGAAAAGAAGACCUCUAGGAUUUCUUCUCUAAGGUCACCCAUGUGGGAACUGAGUAGAAGAAACGAAGUUAAUCAUUAAAAGUAUUCAGGAGAGAAAACAAACACUUCCCUGACCGGGAAUCGAACCCGGGCCGCGGCGGUGAGAGCGCCGAAUCCUAACCACUAGACCACCAGGGACGAUAGCAAGUCUUCGCGGUUAUGAAUAUAUGAGGCUAAGUCAGUGUGUGUCUCUGCUUACUCAUUCUGUGACGUGUGUUCUUUCAGCUAUCUAGAUUUUGAGAUUCUUGACUACUGGGCUCUCACCCCGCCGAAACUACUUUUUCCUCGUAGAAAACUCCCUUUUUUUCUUUAAGUAGAAAAUCCUGAAAAGAACGCUCCAGCUUGGCUCCCAAAGCUAAGUGAGGAUCGUAUGCACACGAUUGCAAUUUCCAAAAUUAAAGACAACUGUCCGGAGAAAAGAUCUAAAGACUAAUAGGAAACUCUCAGCUUCCGGUGUUUGCAGUAUUUCCUGAAUUGCGAUCAGCGGAAAAGUAAAAGCCCCUAGCUGGGCUCUCCCAGGAAUUUUUCCUUAAGGAAUAUAGAGGUCCUAUAGCAGUUUUUUU